GACGGCGAGCAGGCCAGGCAGAUUCUCCUAUUUCAUUGUGUAGUGCAGCCAGGCCCAGAAGCCAGGCCUCCCCACCCUCCAUGUAAAUAACCGCCUCGGGCUCCACCUCGGGGUUACCGUGGUAACCGCUGCAGCGGGGCUUCCUGGGCUGGCGCCCCUCCACCACCACCGCAGCCCGCUGCCUCGCGUGUUCUCCAGGUAACCUGCAAACGCGGCCCACUGUACUUCCUGCGCCCACAGCCAGAGACCAGCGGAGCAGGCGGGAGUCAUUGUUUCCAUCGCUGUGCGAGAACGCUUUCCGACCUAUAAAGACGCUAACAUGAGACCCUUAGCAUCCCUGAAGGUGAAGGUGAUCGUAAAUGGACCUCCUGCCACCCUUGAGCCUGGGAGGACGGAGCAAGGUCUGUGACACACUCGAGGACACUGGCAGAUUCACAGCAGAACUGGGGAACAUGCGGGUCCCGCUUAUGCUUCGGGGAGGAGAUUAGGUCGUUGUCCUGCCAGUGGGUCCCUCCACUCUCCUGCUGGUCUCCUGCACAAGGUGCCUGCAGUUACUGAAAGCUACAGGAUGAAGUUCUGGUCACUCAGGCAAUGGGCAGCCCAGUUGACCCCAUUCACCUCUGGCAUCCAAGGUGUGGACAUCCAGCAGAAGUACUAACUCCAUUAGCUGUGGUGGGGGAACCCUGCUGCAAGCCCAGGGGUGCCUCUUUCCUCAAACUGGGCUAUUGUCUCUGUGACCAUGCUGUGUCAACAAUGGUCAGUAAGUAGCUGGGUGUGUUUUGUCAAUUUGUGCCUUUGUGCCUAUUAAGGGCCACUUAUGCACUCCUCAAAAUUCAUAAGUAGAAAUUCUAGGCCUUAAUGUGACUGUAUUUUGAGGCAGGGCCUUACUGGGGACCUGGCCGAGAUCCCCAUUACCUGUCUGAGGGGUACAGUGAAGGACAGAAUAAGGGACAGAGACACAUUAAUGAUGCACGAUGGGGGGCUGGGAGGUCAGUGCCUCAGGACGGGCAAAGACCCCGAUCAUACAAAUCAGCCACUAUUUCCUGGGUGUGGACAGUGCAAGGGGUGUGUGCAAUGGUAGGAGGGGCGAGGACAAGACUCAGAGGGCAGUGACACUGCAGGCGAUGGGUAACCCUGGACGACCCAAGAGGGUGGGGAUGCACCUGUGCUAACAAGGACCUUGCUCUGGAGUGUUCUUUCUCAUUUUAGUAGUUUUAGUUUAGUUUUAGUGGGUGGGAGAGGAUGG